rnacentral:rRNA from 1 species
AUUGAACGCUGGCGGCAGGCCUAACACAUGCAAGUCGAGCGGAGUGGCGGACGGGUGAGUAAUGUCUAGGAAUCUGCCCGGUAGCGGGGGAUAACGUCCGGAAAGGGGCGCUAAUACCGCAUACUAUUGGAUCGGCCUAGGUCGGAUUAGCUAGUUGGUGGGGUAAAGGCCUACCAAGGCGACGAUCCGUAACUGGUCUGAGAGGAUGAUCAGUCACACUGGAACUGAGACACGGUCCAGACUCCUACGGGAGGCAGCAGUGGGGAAUAUUGGACAAUGGGCGAAAGCCUGAUCCAGCCAUGCCGCGUGUGUGAAGAAGGUCUUCGGGUUGUAAAGCACUUUAAGUUGGGAGGCGUUACCUGCAGAAUAAGCACCGGCUAACUACGUGCCAGCAGCCGCGGUAAUAC